rnacentral:tRNA from 1 species
UGCGGAGAUGGCAGAGAGGUCAAAUGCGCCUGCCUUGAGAGCAGGUUUCCGAAAGGAAGCGUCGGUUCGACUCCGGCUCUCCGCGU